CAGUAGCCGCGGGAAUACGUAGGGUGCGAGCGUUAAUCGGAAUUACUGGGCGUAAAGCGUGCGCAGGCGGUCCGUUAAGACAGAUGUGAAAUCCCCGGGCUUAACCUGGGAACUGCAUUUGUGACUGGCGAGCUAGAGUAUGGCAGAGGGGGGUAGAAUUCCACGUGUAGCAGUGAAAUGCGUAGAGAUGUGGAGGAAUACCGAUGGCGAAGGCAGCCCCCUGGGCCAAUACUGACGCUCAUGCACGAAAGCGUGGGGAGCAAACAGGAUUAGAUACCCCCGUAGUCCCUGUCUCUUAUAC
rnacentral:rRNA from 1 species